GCCUCCUUUCUUUCUCCCUGCCUCCGCUCCACCAGCCCCGCGACCCGCGACCCCAACCCCUCCCUCCCACGACCUCCUCUCCCCCGAUCCCAUCGGCCGGCGCGACCUCCGCUCCACUAGCCCCGCCAGCGACCCGCUACCCCACCACCGGCGCGCGACAGAUCCAACCCAGCAGCAGCUCAGGUCCCGCGGCCAUGGCAGGGGGAUCCCGAAACCCUACCCUGUGGCGGCUAGGGUUUCAGUCGGCUCCAACUCCAGCGCUGCUCUACCUCCGGCGACUCCCGAGCCCUCAAGCGCCACUCCGUCUCCUGGAUGGCCUCGAGGACGGCAGGUUCUUCCUCAACCUCGAGGACACGCACCGGCAGCCGGCCAUCUCCGUCGAGCCCACCGAUGGCGACCUUCGGAUCUGGCUGCAGUCUUCCACUAUGGAUCAAUAAGCUUGAUUGCCGAGCCUUGCCGGACAGCGCAUCUGCAUGCCAUGAAGGUUGCCAAAGAGGCCGACGCGCUUCUCUCGUAUGACCCGAACCUGAGGGAGGCAUUGUGGCCAUUCCUUAAGGAGGCUCGCACCAAGAUUUUGAGCAUCUGGGACCAGGCAGACAUUGUCAAGGUCAGCGAGGUCGAGCUCAAGGACACAACGUCAGCAUUAGCAGCAAGGAAAGGAAUUCAAGGCCAUGGGAGCUGCUUCUAGUAUAGGACGUGCUGGACCUGUUGCUGCUGCCGGUUGUGUUACCCGACCAAGUCCCCAAGCUGCAUCCUGCUGCUCCUGCCCCGGCCGUCCUCAACUUGCUCCUGGACAGCUACCGCAGAGGAGGUAUGGCUGCCGUGCAAUGAUGCUGGAGACUGUUGCCGCAGUGCUGGGGAUGGAGACAGAUUGCAUUGGAAAUAUUCUGUUAUUCCUUACCUAAUGUUCUUGUUGCUGAUAAUAGGGCAUGUAAAUAGCAAGUUAUUUUCCUAGUGGUUACUUAUGCUUAUUGUGUAUCACAUUUAAAAAGAAAAUGCACAAUGAGCUUGUUUUAUCUUUUCUAUGCUUAUGUAUGCUUGAUCAGGGUAGUUCUUUUUUAAUUUGAUGACAAUGAACCAAUAUAACCAGUCAUCAGUAGCUAGUGUGCAUUGCCAAGUACAACAGUUUUACAUUGUAUGGAAUCAUCUAUAGAUAUUAUUUAUCGAUAUGGGUUAACUCAUCCUUAUUGUUCGAUCCUCUCUUUUAGUUAAUAAUGUAUGCAUGCCUUGUAUGUUCUGUGUUCUUUACUAUACUGUUCUGUCCUCGGGCAAUUAAACAUUGUAUCUGUUUUUAUUGUGAUAUGCAACUCUUCAAAAAAAGAAACUACAUUAUGGAGUUACUCAUCUGCAUGGAAUUUCUAUGUAUUCUGGUAGUUUAUUUUUGAUAUUGUAUUGCUGUAUUCCCAAUCUGCGUGGGAGCCGAAGCUCGAUUUGUUCCUGUUUCUGUUUCUGUUUCAGUACUAGUACAAUGUAAUGAUUUUGUGCUUUCAUGAAGUAUUUUGCGCUAUUUUUUUUCUGUCGAGCAAUUUAGAAGACCUGUAGAGCAUUUAACUAGACAGUUGACUUUGCAUGUGCAACUAUGCUUGCUUAGAGCAGCCCUUGACUGGCUACAUUAUUGUGAUGGACCGUGCUGUUCUUAGUUGUGCUACAGUAUGUGUUCCGUGUUGUUUGCACUUGUUAGCCAAAUCAUUGCACACGCAGUGUUAACGCGAUGUUGUAAAAUUCCUGUUUGUACAAUGUAUCUGCUACAUAUGUUUUCAUCUUGAUAGCUAGCAGCCUAGCACCAUGAACUUUGAUUGUAAAAUCUCUAUAUGCUGUAAAAUUAAUUGGGCCAGUCUCGAAUUUGUUGUGAAUUGUAAGAUGCUUCAAGUAAAUGGUUUUUUGUCUUCUCACGUGUAGGCGGUCAGGCGAGACAGCAAGUAGAGGUUCAGUCUGUUGGAGGAGUAUGGCGAGCUGCUGAUUCGGGCUAAACAGGGGCACACUGUGGCAGUAUGUUUUCUGCCUGAACUCCCCUGCACUAAUGUAUUCUGUUUUUACAAGGCGUCCUGACUAUGAGCAGGAGCAGGUGCAUGUGCCUGUUUGUAAUGCUAACGAAGGAGCUCCAUCCUGAAGAAUAUAGUGCUUGUAGAGCUUGUAAAUUAGUUACUCCACUUGUAGAGUUAUUUGUAGAGCAGGAGCACCAUUUUAUUGCGUGUUAUUUGUAGAGCAGGAGCUCCAUACAGAAUCUGGCUCUAUACUGAAUCUGGCUGUUGUUAUUUGAAGUAUUACAUGUGUUUUUUGUCA